rnacentral:sRNA from 1 species
CAUGUUAGGCUGUGUACUGAAAUUAAGCUGUGUCAAGAAAUUAACAAACUGUCUGCCCAAAACCAAUGCCUAAUUAAUUGAUGAUAUUUUUCUCCCCUCUUUUGAUGUUAAUUACAUUUUUGGUGCUCUAAAGAAAAUCCAGGAACAUUGUGCGAACCUUUCAUAAAAUAUGUCAGCUGCCCAGAUCAGAGAAAGCUUUCGCAAAUCCUCUCGUAUUUCAAGAAGAAAAUUCCAGAUGAAGCGUGCGUAUGUGUCGUUUUCCUUGAGGCUUGUCUACCGCUUUUUUUUUGAAUGACAGGGAAAACCAAUAAUGAAUCAUCAUUGCUACCACCACCACCACCAUCGCCAACGCCAACACCACCACCAUUAUCAGCAUCUACCAAGUCAUCCCCAAUAACAUUGGAAAUAUAGUGAAAAUAUCACCGUCUAAGAAAACGAUAUAUGUACAACAAUAACAAUUAUUGGAAAUUAGUAAAUAAAACCGUACCGAAAGAAAUAAA